rnacentral:lncRNA from 1 species
UCUUUCUACAUGUUUUAUUCCUGUCACUCAACAGUACAUAGAAAUGUGACUGUUCCCUUCAGACUCCAUCAGAAGAGUCUCAACUCCUCCCCUGUACUUCCAUUACAGGUCAUAUGAUACACUCUGAGCUAACAUCCGGUGCUCAGUACAGAGAAUAGGCUCCACCUUUUCUCCAACAGUACAUCUGCACUGUUUUGCAUUCCAGCCAUCUGGAGCUGGCUUUUGCCUUGUUGCUUUUUCCUGACAUCCUCCCCCAAAAGCAUCAAUUGGCAAAACAUGAUCCAGAGAAGAGAACAAACAGUUGUUAUACAUAUAACAGUCCCCUGUUGUUUCAGUUCCACCCUUGGAACUCCCCACCACUGGUUUCACCAGUGUACCUCUCUGGUUGUCUGGCUUCCAAGGAAUGAGUGCUUCUGCAUUACCUUGGCUUGCUACCCUCUGUUGUGUCUUUGUCUCUGACUUAGACACUGCUUCAACCUGCUUUGAGUUGUUAACAAUAGCAGCACAUGCAACAGCUAAGUUAGCAAACUCUUUUGAGUACCUCUUUGGUGGUACACCCUUUGUAACUCUCUCAGACCUGCGUAUGAGGUGCUGAUCCUCUGUGCUCACUGGUUCAACCUUUGGACUCUGUUGAGAACCAGUAGCAAUCAGUGGUUCUUCCUUCAUCUGUGAAGGUCUAUCCAUUGUGUGAGAUUUCCUCUCAAUGACUGUUACAACUGAACUCUCUGAGCUAUCAUUGUCAUCGUCAGUACCACUGUAAUCUGUGACAUCAGAAAAAUCAUCAUCAUCAUCUGAAUUGUAUCCUGUGGGAAAUGUCUGUACUACCCGCUCUUGCUCUGGAGCACUCUCUAGGAACUUUGUGAGAAUCACCUGACCAGAUUCAGACAAAAUUACUCUGUAGAGACCCUUUUCAUAACCCACAAAAAUGCCUCUGGCAUUCUUUACUCCACCUGGAGCUUCUGUUCUCACAUGAGACCCGAAAACCUUAAAAUAGGCAACAGAAGGUUUUCUAUUGAACAGCUUCUCAAAAGGAGAACAUCCCAACUCUGUUGAGACUUUUCUCAACCACACAUGAAGAUAGGACGCUAGCGAUUCGGCCCAAUAUUCAUGUGGCAAAUGUGAACUCAGCAAUUGCGCAUUCAUCCCCUUUUGCAAUUCUUUGUUCACUCUCACACACACACCCCUGUUCCACGCUUCUUGCGAAACUGCAACUUUGUGGUCUAUCCCUUUUCCAUCCAGGAACUUCUGAAACUUCUGUAACAGAAAAACGUGUUUGUCAUCUGUGAAAAGACAAUCAAUGUUAGCAUCAUGCAUACUUUUAACCUUGUCACAAAACUCCUGAAACUUUUCUAAAGUUUCUUGCGGUUUCUCCAUCAUAUAAACCCAAGAAUAAUCAGUGAAACAAUCCACACACACAAGGUAAAAUCGUGCACCGCCUCUAGAUAGUUCUAGAGGACCAAUCACAUCAGCAUACACCCACUGAAAUGCUCUGUCGACCUUCUUCGUCACCUUCCUGGUGCUCACACUGGUCACACCUGCAAGAGAGAUUUUGUUAUAAACAGAAGAAUCACAUUUCAUGUAAUCACUUUGAUCAAAAGUCAACAAAUACAGUCCAUCUUUCUCUUUGGCAGUAAGAAACAGUUCUCCAUCUUUGUAGAUCUUGCAGCUUUUAGCAUCAUAGGACAGUUUCAGUCCUUUCUUUGCAAUCUGCGACACGCUCAGCAGAUUAAAUCUCAGUUCUGGAACCAGGUAAACAUCACUUAUAGUCAAGUUCAGACUCUCAAGAUACACAGUCCCAAUUCCGGUUGCUUCCAACUCCUGACCGUUGGGCUGUUUCACAGUGAAGCUUUGCUUCCUCAACGUCGAAAAUAGUCCUCUGUGCGGGCACAUAUGAACCAUGGCGCCCAUGUCAAUUAUGAAGGAGUUCCCAACAUCUGGCGUGGUUCCUUUCGCCAUCAUAGCCUUUGCAGGUUUCACCUGGCACUUGGAACGGCUUUUGCCUGACGCCUCAGGCUUCGUAGAGCUGCUCUUUGCUCUUCUUGACUGGCGCGGCUUCCUACAGUUUCGCUGUAGAUGCCCAGUCUGUCCACAAUUGUAGCAUCGGACAGCACUCAAUGCUACUCCAUGCUUCCCAGUAGCAUCAUCAGUGGGGAGAUUUGAACUCUGUUCUUCCCUCCCCCUGUCAGCAACACCCAUUGCACCUUGUUCAGGAACACCAACAGUUCCAACAGCCACAGUUCCUGCACUCUCCCCUCUGGGGUCAAAGCUCUCCUCAGCUUUCGUUGAGCUCUUAGGAACUUGGCCAGCAUCAUCUUGGCUCUGUUGGUUUCUGCUUUCGUUCACUGUGCAGCGAAAGCGCUUGUCACGAGACAGGUGUUUACAUUCCACAGUCUGUACUGUCUGUACUGUUGGAGUUUCUCACGGGAAAGGGAGGCUGGAUGUGACGUACACUGGUUUCCUGUUUUUCACUGUGUGUUUCUCUCCGAGCUGUCGAGGAGAGAGGAUGCAUUUUCUGCUCCGGCAGAGGCAAGAUGUCUUUCUGUAAUAUACCAGCUUUGAACUGUGAAUAAAGCAAUAUAGAGUAUGCAGCACGUACUCCUCAUCCUUCCGCUGGGCACGAGACUCUGCUUUAACUUAACACGUGGUUAUGGGCUCCAGAAGUCGAAUCGGAGUGCCGGCAAAGGAUCGGAAUGCAGAGGGACAGAUCGGAACGGAAUCUGCUCUGCGCGUAGAGGUGAUUGAUGAGGUAUGUGCUACUGCUCCGGGCAGCCUGCCAGCUUCAAGUUAAUGGCUUUAUGGCUGGACUUUGAACUUUUAAAGCCGGUUUUGCCGGGAAUAGGCAAAAGGCUCCCAGGCACAAGUCACUAUGCUGGGGAAAUCGAAAGUAACUUUUAAGUGCGCUUUUGUAAUAAGGCAGCUGCAGCAGUGACGCAGCAAGAUUUAAAGCAGCAUAUAUGACGCUGAAGGCUAAUGCCAGAGUCAUGAUGGCCCUUCAGGAUGCUUGUGGGAUUCCUAAGCUCAACAAGAAAAAUUAUGCCGACUGGGUUCUGUAUGCAGAGGCAAUUCUGCGGAAAGAGGGUUUGUUUGAGGUGAUUACAGAAACCCCCAGUUCCAGUUACAGAUGCAUGGGAAGCUAAGGAUUCCAAAGCAAGGGGAACUCUUACAUUGAUAGUAUCCCCAGAAGAGCUCUGUCUAUUGCGUGAUAAGACCUCAGCCAGAGAAAUUUGGGACGCUUUGAGAGAGGCUCACUUAAGGACAGAAGCUGGAUCCACUAUGUUUUACUUUAACAAGCUGCAUAAUAUGGCUCUUGCUGAAGGUGGAGAUGUGCGUUUACAUCUGAUGGAGAUGCAAAAUCUGAGACAUGAGCUGCAACAGAGAGGACUCAACUUUCCAGAGGCUGUGUAUUCUUUCAUGAUACUACAAUCUUUGGGUUCAGGUUGGGAGUCUGUUGCAACCCAGAUUGCUGUGCAACCAACUGCUCAGCUGACAGUGGACUUUGUUACUGCUGUGAUUUUAAAUGAAGCAGAUCGCCGGGGUGCUAGCUGCAUGGGCAAGGGGGGAGUCUUCACAGACGUCAUCCCAUAGUGCAGUGGAACCACCAGAUGGCGCCAAAGCUUUGAAGGCAGUGAAAUGCUACUCGUGUGGACGUCUAGGCCAUAUGAAGAGGGAAUGCAGACAUCCCAGGGCCAAGACAGAGCAGCGCAGCGAAAGCUCAUCGCGCGGAAAAGGCCGAGGCAAAGGCAAAGGUCCGGUGUCUAGGACAACGCAGCACAAGGCUAUGGUUUCACGCUUCACUCCAAAGGUUGCAGAGGUCCAGAAGACGUCUAGAUCUUUCUUCGUUGUUGAUUCAGCGGCGACCCACCACAUGUGCAACGAUAAGAGACUGUUUGUGUCUUUUACACCGCAGGAAGGUGCGAUUCACCAGGCGGAUGACCACACUAUUCCCAGUAAAGGCUACGGAACUGUUGUUCUUCACAGUUUGGACUUAUCGAUACAGAAUGUGCUUUACGUGCCAGACGCCAAACAUAAUCUGCUCAGCGUUGGACAGCUGAAUGAGCGGAACAUUGACGUUUCCUUCAAGAACAAGAAGUGCAUCAUCACAAAGAAAAAUGAUUAUGUAUUGCAUGCAGAAUAUGUUGAUCGUUUGUUUGUUUUGUAUUAUGAUGAUGUGGUGCAGGAUGACACUUGUUGCAUUGCAGGUUCUAACAAAAGUUUGCAUGCAGAAUGUAUUCACGAUUUUCAUAGAAAAUUUGGUCAUUUGCAUUUUGAGGCAGUAUCUAAAAUGCCUGCCUUGGUUGAAGGUAUGACUAUUAAACCCUGCAGGUACCACAUGAAGUGCAAAGCAUGCGCAGCAAACAAGGUGAAAAUGGCUGCGAAAGGUAAGGUGUCUAGUAGGAAAGCUACAGAACCAUACCAGGUUGUUCAUGCUGAUUUGGUUGGACCACUAGCGCCCUCUUUGGGUGGAAAUAGAUACUUCAUGGUUCUCAUUGAUGCAUUUUCUAGAUAUAUUUUUGUGUACAAUCUCAAGCAGAAAUCGGAGGCUUUUCCUAGGUUCAAGGAAUUCUGUGCUUGGUUGGAAAAUGUGCAUGGUAAGAAGAUAAAGACUCUUUUCAGUGAUCGCGGGGGGGAAUUCACUUCUCAGCAGUUUGAAGCUUUUCUGACUGAGAAAGGAAUUCAACACGAUUUGUCUAGUCCUCGCUCGCCAUGGCAGAAUGGACUUGCGGAACGGGCAAAUCAGACAUUGCUUCAAGGGUUAAAAACCUUGCUGCAUGAUGCCAAUCUUCCAGAGAGUUAUUGGGCCGAAUCUCUCUCGUGUUUUGUUUACAGUUACAAUCGCAGGUUAUCUUCAGCGAUUGGUUGUACCCCUAUGAGAAGAUGUUUGGCAAGAAGCCAUACAUCAAACACAUGAAGAUUUUGGUUCUGACAUGUGGGUUCGCUCACCACAAAACUCCAAGUUAGACAAGCGUGGAUUGCAUGGUAUCUUUCUAGGUUAUCAGAAAGGGUCUUACAGAAUAAUGAUGACUGACUCUAAGACAAUUAAGCUCACGAGAAGUGUUGAGUACAAUGCAAAGUGGGGGAGAAUGUGGGAAUUUUCCAAUGUUAUCCUGAUGACGGUGAUGAGACUGAGGAUAGUCAAAAGCAACCACAACAACCCACACCCACUGAUGAAGGUUCUGAGUCUGAAUCUGAAACUGAAUCGGGUGAUUCAGAGGAUUUCGAGAGUGCGAAAGCCUCUAUGCGACCCUCUGAAAGCUCUGAUCAAGAAUUGGAGGAACCAUUGUUCACAAUAGGUCGUUUUUCUCCUAAGAAGGAAGAGGAGAGUGUUGAAGACUUAAGGCUAAUUCGUAGGUCACAGAGAGCCACAAAAGGCAAACCUCCAAAGAGAUUUGCUGAUGAGUUUGCUACGAUAGCAGUAACAGCUGUUAAAAGCUCCAAGAAGGUAUUUGAACCUUCAAGUUUCCAAGAAAUCCAGGGUUUGGAUUCGAAGGAAGCUGAGCCAUGGUUAAAUGCCAUGAAGGCUGAGCUUGAUUCCUUAGAAAGGAACAAAACAUGGGAGCUAGUUCCAGUAGUUCCAGGAAUGAAACUGCUUGGAAGCAAAUGGGUCUUCAAAGCGAAGACAGAUCAAAAUGGCAAGAUAGUCAGACACAAAGCCAGAUUGGUAGCCAGAGGUUUUGCACAGGUACCAGGUCAAGACUAUCACGAGACCUAUUCACCCACAGUGAGAUAUGAAAGCAUUAGGCUUAUGCUCAAGCUAGCUGCAGAGGAAAAUCUACACAUUAGUCACCAUGAUAUUAAUACAGCUUUUCUGUACGGAUCUCUAGAUGAAUCACUUUAUAUGCUUCCACCUGAUGGCGUACAGGUAAAACAGGGAUUUGUUUGUGCUCUGAAGAAAUCCCUUUAUGGUCUCAAACAAAGUGCACGGUGUUGGCACACAAAACUCACUGAAGUAUUGUUUUCUCUAGGUUUUCAGCAAGGGAAAGCUGAUCCAUGUGUAUUUGUCAAAGAGGAGGGGCAAAAGAAACUGUACUGUUUGUUUUAUGUUGAUGAUUUAUUAUUCUUUUGGAAAGAUGUCGCAAUGUACAAUAACGCCCUAGCUCAACUGAAAGAGCACUUUGACAUGAAAGAUCUUGGUGAGGUAAACAACUACCUAUCUCUGGAAAUAGAGAGAGAUCAAGAUGGUAACAUUCUAGUACACCAGUCACGGAAAAUUGCUGAUGUGUUAAGCAAACUAAAUCUGAUGGAUGCUAACCCUGUAGACACACCGAUGACAACAGGUUAUCAGGUAGAUGACACUGAAGAAGCGUUUUCUGACACUACACUGUACAGGAGUGUGCUAGGCAAGCUAAACUUCAUUGCCAGAUGUUCAAGACCAGACAUUGCUGUUAGCUGUAAUUUGCUAAGCAGACAAGUCAACAAUCCUAGUGUCAAGCAUUGGAAAGCUCUGAAACGCAUAGCACGGUAUUUGAAAGGCACUAUGCAUUACAGACUGAGAUUUAACAAUCAGAAGUCUGGUGGUCUUGAGAUAUUUGCAGAUGCAAGUUUUGGAAGUGACGCUACAGACAGGAAAAGUACGUCUGGAGUUUGCUACAUGUACAAUCAGAGUCUGUUUGAUUGGUCAUGCAAGAAGCAAACAACAGUUAGCUUAAGUACUUGUGAAGCCGAACUCAAUGCACUGUCUUAUUCACUUAAGGAUUGUGAAUGGUUAGUACAAUUGUGCAAAGAUAUGAAAAUUCCUGUCAAAUGUCCAAUCCAGGUUUACCAGGACAACAAAGCAUGUUUGGCUUUGCUGAAGUCUGAAGGUUGUAAGCAAAGCACAAAGCACUUGCAAUUAAAGUUGCAGCAUGCUAGGGAAUGUAUUCAGAAGGGACUCGUAACGGUGUCCUAUAUGCCAGGUAAUGAAAUUCCUGCUGAUGUAUUGUCCAAGAUUGUAUCAAGGAAUCAACACUGUACCUAUGUGCAGAAGUUGGGUUUGUACUGAUAUUGUACAAACACGCUGCCCAGUGAUGUUCACAGAAAGGGGGAGGAUGUUGGUUUCUGCUUUCGUUCACUGUGCAGCGAAAGCGCUUGUCACGAGACAGGUGUUUACAUUCCACAGUCUGUACUGUCUGUACUGUUGGAGUUUCUCACGGGAAAGGGAGGCUGGAUGUGACGUACACUGGUUUCCUGUUUUUCACUGUGUGUUUCUCUCCGAGCUGUCGAGGAGAGAGGAUGCAUUUUCUGCUCCGGCAGAGGCAAGAUGUCUUUCUGUAAUAUACCAGCUUUGAACUGUGAAUAAAGCAAUAUAGAGUAUGCAGCACGUACUCCUCAUCCUUCCGCUGGGCACGAGACUCUGCUUUAACUUAACAGGCUCACCCCUUCUGGGGUAGUUAUCCAUCCAGACCCUGAUGAAUAACUGUCUCUGGUCAGGGGAGAUGGGUAAGGCAAAUCUCCCCCCUUCUUGGCAUCCAUCUUGAAGCCAAGCCUCCAGCUCACACUGUCAAACAAACUGUAAAAUCCAACAGUUGUUUUUUUCUUUGUCACGCAGGCAAAACUGCAAGUUGUUUACGGUCUUUUGCACCUGGCAGCUAAACUCUGGCUGCUAUGAAAGGUCCCUUCCAAGAGCUCGUAAACCUUGUAGCCAAAACAUUCUCUGAUUUUGUUUCGCUUUCCCAGGCUUACACUCACAGUCCAGCCCCUUUGCCAGUAACUUUCCAUCUUUCCGUUACUUAGCAACAAUGCAUUUCAAUAGGACAUCUUAUCUUAACCACAAGAAUUUGUGGAAUGCAGGCCUCUUCUCCCGGAGCUGUAUUUUUCCAAGACGCAGCUCCCCGUGAACCAGUGAAUUAAUCAGACUGCGUUCACACUUUUAGCCCGAAAUGCAGCAGCAUACCUUGAACUCCGUUGCUUGGAAAAACACUUCUUCUUUCCACCAGCUGUCUGUGGAGCCUCUGGCUUCUUUCAGACGCUUGCCUUCUCCCUUGGAGCAGAGGAGGACAAUCCACCAGCCUCUCAUGCAGAUGUCCGAUGAAUCGCAACCAUCCGAAGGCUGCCAUAUAUCAGUAUCUUCAGCCCACAGGCAGAGGUACCUGGCCUCCCCCGAGGCAAUUGAGCGAGAUACUGGAUGUUUACCGUCCGUCUGCGACCUCCGGCAGGCUAGGUAAACAAACCGGCGAUCCUCCUCAAACGUGAGCAGGACACACCCUCCUCCUUCCUCCCUCCCUGCAUUCCUUCCCAGGGAGGGGAAGAAGAGACAGACAGGAGUCUUUCUACAUGUUUUAUUCCUGUCACUCAACAGUACAUAGAAAUGUGACUGUUCCCUUCAGACUCCAUCAGAAGAGUCUCAACUCCUCCCCUGUACUUCCAGUACAGGUCAUAUGAUACACUCUGAGCUAACAUCCGGUGCUCAGUACAGAGAAUAGGCUCCACCUUUUCUCCAACAGUACAUCUGCACUGUUUUGCAUUCCAGCCAUCUGGAGCUGGCUUUUGCCUUGUUGCUUUUUCCUGACAGUCUCCACCUCA